rnacentral:rRNA from 1 species
GAUGAACGCUGGCGGCGUGCCUAACACAUGCAAGUCGAACGGAGUCCAGCCUUUAAGACCUUCGGGUCAAAGAGGGGAAGACUGAGUGGCGGACGGGUGAGUAACACGUGGGCAACCUGGCUCAUAGAGGGGGAUAACAGAGAGAAAUUUCUGCUAAUACCGCAUAAGCACACACUGCCGCAUGGCAGAGGGUGAAAAGAGAAUCGCUAUGAGAUGGACCCGCGUCUGAUUAGCCAGUUGGCAGGGUAAGAGCCUACCAAAGCGACGAUCAGUAGCCGAUCUGAGAGGAUGAACGGCCACAUUGGGACUGAGACACGGCCCAAACUCCUACGGGAGGCAGCAGUGGGGGAUAUUGCACAAUGGGGGGAACCCUGAUGCAGCGACGCCGCGUGAGUGAAGAAGUAUUUCGGGAUGUAAAGCGCUAUCAGCAGGGAAGAUAAUGACAGUACCUGAAUAAGAAGCCCCGGCUAACUACGUG